AUGUAUGUCCCUAUUCAGGUACACCCACCUGUCUAUCCAUCUAGCCAUAUAUGUAUGUGUCUAGCCAUCCAUCCAUGUACAUAUGUACCUAUCUACCCACCUAUCUAUUUAUGUAUGUAUGUACCUAUCCAUCCACCUGUCUAUUCAUAUGUGUAUGUACCCUAUCUUCCCCUGUCCUAUUCUUAUGUGUACCUGUCUAUCCACACAUCUAUUCAUGUAUGUGCCUAUCCAUCACACAAUACUAUUCAUGUGUGUGUGCCUAUCUAUACCUAUACUAUUCUAUUUUAUAUAUGUACCUAUCCACCUAUUCAUAUGUGUAUGUACCUAUCCAUCCCCCUGUCUAUUCUUAUGCCUAUCCAUCCCCUGUCUAUUCAUAUGUGUAUACUAUCCAUCCACCUGUCUAUUCAUAUGUGCUUCAUGUACCUAUCUAUCCCCCUGUCUAUUCAUAUAUGUAUGUACCUAUCCAUCCACCUGUCUAUUAAAUUGUAUGUAUGUACUAUCCAUCCACUAUAUUCAUUGUAUGUAUGUACCCUGUCCAUCCACCUGUCUGACCAUUGUAUGUGUCUUUUUAUCCAUCCACCUGUCUAUUCGUGUAUGUAUGUACCUAUCCAUCCACCUGUCUAUUCGUGUAUGUAUGUACUUAUCCAUCUGUCAUCCUCUUUAUUCUGCAGCUCCUUUCCUCACCCACAGUGUGAGCCUGCCACGCUAACCGUGACAUGUGUCACUCCAGUUCAUUCAUGUAUGGUUGCAGGGUUGCUGGGGCACACAGAGUACCAGGGGAAUGCCAGUCCUGGCUGGGCCACAGUGUCCAUCCUACUGAUGGAGUGUCAGGGGGUGGGGGUGGGGCUCCAGGUUUCUGCUAGUCUAGCACGGCUACUAAACCCUCUUAUGCAGGCGCAAGGGGUUCCAGGGCAGGUACUGAGACACAUGCUGGCCAGGUCCCACGGCAUGGCUGUCCUUGGCCUCCUGACACCGCCACAGCUCUGGCUGAGGCUGCUCUGCAUCGCCCGCCACCACAGGCGUGAGAGCCGCCUUUCCGUGUUUCUGUGGUCCAUUCUGUUUCCGGUUUGUGAAUUGCCAGUUCCUAUUUUCUCCCUUUUCAGUGGGUUCUUGGCCUUUUCUUAA
rnacentral:lncRNA from 1 species